CUCCCUUUUCCUCACCAGCAGGGGGCUCCGGCAGCCCACAGACGGGGGACUUGCUCCUCCUCAGGGACCGUCUGGACCAGGCGACAAGUUUCAAGACGCCCGCCCGGGUGAAGAUGCUCUAGAAGGACGUGUUGGCUUCGGGAGGGGAAGGAGGGUGCCUGUCGAGCCCCAAUCGCAAAGUUUUUGCUCCCUCCCCUUCCGCCGGGGCCAGGGAGCGAGAGGCUCUGGGAGGAAAGGAGGAAGAGGCGGUUUACUGAAUUGGGAACAGGGGACUGAUGGGAUGUGUGAUGGUCAGACCUGAGCUUUAGGGAGUCGCCUUGGCGAAUUGGAUGAAUUGGUUGGAGCCUGGAGACCCGGAGUGCCCACUGCUAGAUCCCCUCCACCAUACUGUAGUAGAGCUCCUCUAGGCCAGGAGAGGGGCGAGGAGGGUUUGUACCACAGGGGUGGCUGUGUGGGUCAGGGAUGAGUCGAUGAGUCACUUCCACAAACUCAGCAAAGAUUUCUCCUUCCUGGGAUUCGGUUUCCUCACCAUAAAAGGAGAUUUUGGUCAUGUUUGGCUCUUUGGGAUCUUCCUGGCACAGAUACUGGACUGAUUCACUAUUUCUUUCUCCAGCUGAUUUGACAGGGGAGGAAACUGAGGCAAAUAGGGUUAGGUGACUUGCCCAGGGUCACCUGUGUCUGAACUCAUAUUUGAACUCAGGACCUCCCAUCUCUAGGCCUGGCUCUUACUCUACUGAGCUAUCCAGCUGCCCCUCCAAAUCUAUAAUUUUAGAACAGGAAGGAUCAGGGGCAUUUAGAAGCCAUUCAGGGCCAAGGAGGUCGGGCCAUGGGCCGUUCAGAAGCCUCCUUCAUUAUUGUGCCACCUCCUCCCUUGUCAGGAGUCCAGGGCCUGAAGCCCCUCUAAUCCUAUAAACAAAUUCCAUGUAAAGCCCCAAUAGAACAUGCACAAAAAAUCUGGUUCAAAUUAAACCCUCCAUCUGCCAUUGCCGGGGGCUCUGAGAGUUUCCCCGUGACCUGGAGCUCACUGAGGCGGAAACUGGCAUCUCUGGAUC
rnacentral:lncRNA from 1 species